rnacentral:rRNA from 1 species
GUAGGGUGCGAGCGUUAAUCGGAAUUACUGGGCGUAAAGCGUGCGCAGGCGGUUUUGUAAGUCAGAUGUGAAAUCCCCGGGCUUAACCUGGGAACUGCGUUUGAAACUACAAGGCUAGAGUGUAGCAGAGGGGGGUGGAAUUCCACGUGUAGCAGUGAAAUGCGUAGAGAUGUGGAGGAACACCGAUGGCGAAGGCAGCCCCCUGGGCCGACACUGACGCUCAAGCACGAAAGCGUGGGGAGCAAACAGGAUUAGAUACCCUGGUAGUCCACGCCCUAAACGAUGUCGACUGGUUGUUGGGGAAGGCAACUUUCUUAGUAACGAAGCUAACGCGUGAAGUCGACCGCCUGGGGAGUACGGCCGCAAGGUUA